GCUCUAUGAUUGGACCUCUUGCUAAAUUGUUAUCGCGCAUACGUACUGAUCAGAGCAUGACUUCUUCUUCUAUGGCCUUUCAAUCAGGAGCUUCUUCCUCUUCUUCAUCCUCUUCAUCUCCUUCCAUCCUUCCAUGGAAUCAUGAUGUAUUCUUGAGCUUUAGAGGUGAAGAUACUCGCAAUAAUUUUACUGCCCAUCUCUAUGAUGCUCUACAUCGAAAGGGAAUCAACACUUACAUAGACAACGAACUUAGAAGUGGGAAGGAAAUUUCACAGGCACUUCUCAAAGCUAUAGAAGAGUCGAGAAUUGCCAUCAUUAUACUCUCUCAAAACUAUGCAUCAUCCACAUGGUGCUUAGACGAGCUGAUGAAGAUCCUUGAUUGUAAUAAAACAAGGCAACAAAUCAUUCUUCCUGUGUUUUACAACGUAGAUCCAUCAGAAGUACGACAUCAAAGAAAGAGUUUUGGUGAAGCAUUUGCAAAACAUCAACAUAGGUUUAAUGAUGACAUGAAGGUGCGGAGGUGGAAGGAAACACUCGAAGAGGUGGCCAACUUGUCCGGGUUUCAUUUAGGGAACAGGAACGAAGCUGAAUUCAUCAACGAAAUUGUUGAAGAGGUUUCGAGAAUAGUAAAUCGUAUAUACUUAAACGUUGCCGAGUAUCCAGUCGGAAUAGAGUCUCAUAUAAAUGAUAUUAAUUUGCUUCUAAGUAUUGGGAUGAAUGACAAACGCAUGAUAGGGAUCCUUGGAGUUGGUGGAAUUGGAAAGACAACCAUCGCCAAAGCAAUCUACAACUCAAUUGCUUAUCAAUUUGAAGCUAUCUGUUUUCUUGCAAAUAUUCGAGAAGAAUCAAAUCGAGAGGGUGGUCUAAUGCACCUCCAGGAGACACUUCUUUAUGAGAUCUUAGGAGACUCUAAGAAUUUGAAAGUUGGUAAUGUUGAUAGAGGAAUCAAUGUGAUAAAGCAUAGGCUUUGCUCUAAAAAGAUUCUACUGAUUCUUGACGAUGUGGAUAAGUUGGUCCAAUUAAAAAAUCUAGCUGGACAUCGUGAUUGGUUUGGUUUAGGAAGUAGAAUCAUCAUAACAACAAGAUAUCAAAAUUUAUUGACUAGUCAUGCAGUUGAUUCAACAUACAAGAUGAAAGAGUUGGAUCACGACAAAGCUCUUCAGCUCUUUAGUUUACAUGCCUUCAAGAGAGAAAAGCCUACUGAUGAUUAUGCGGAACUAACAGAAGAUGUAGUACGAUAUGCAGGGGGUCUUCCACUAGCUUUAACGGUUCUAGGUUCAGAUCUAAAUGUUAGAAGAAGCAUACAUCAAUGGAAAAGUGCAUUGGAUAAGCUCAAGAGAAUUCCUAACAAAGAUAUUCAAAUGAUACUUGGAACAAGUUAUGAAGGAUUGGAUGAUAAUGAGAAGGAUAUUUUCCUUGAUAUUGCUUGUUUCUUCAAAACAAAAGAUGUAGAUUAUGUCAUCAAAGUAUUAGAUAGUUGUCGUUUCCUUCCAGAUGAUGGUAUUUCAAGGCUUAUGGAGAAGUGUCUCAUAAGUGUUGAUGAGCAUGGAAAAUUGUGGAUGCAUGACUUGCUACAAGAUAUGGGUAGAGAAAUUGUUCGACAAGAAUCACCUAAAGAACCUGGCAAACGUAGCAGGUUAUGGUUUCAUGAAGAUGUUCGUUCUGUACUAGAAGAAAAUACGGUAACAAACAAAAUUGAAGGGAUAUUGAUAGAUUUGCCAGAACGAGACUCGAUAUGCUUACAUUCCAAAGCAUUCAAGAAGAUGAAAAGACUCAGAAUAUUUAUAAAUCGCAAUGCAUGUUUAUCUGGAGGGCCUAAUUACCUUUCUAAUGAGUUAAGCUUGCUUGAUUUGGGUGAAUGUCCUUUGCAAUCUAUGCCAUCCAAUUUUCAUGGAACAAAACUCAUUGUCUUUGAGAUGCGGCAUAGCCUCAUAAAGGAGUUGGGGGAUGGAUUCAAGCCCAAGAAUUUGACAACUAUGACUUUCGAUGAGUGUAACUUCUUAGAAAAGAUUCCGGAUCUUUCAAGCAUCUCAAAUUUGAAGGAAUUGAGUGUACAAAAUUGUACAAGACUAGUUGAGGUGCAUGAUUCCGUUGGAUCUUUGGAAAAUCUUUCUAAUUUGGAUUUUUGGGGAUGCUCUAAACUCCAAAUCCUUCCAAGAAGCCUCAAUUUGAGGUCUUUACGCGAGCUUUUUCUUCAAGGUUGCUCAAGCCUUCAUUAUCUUCCUAAAAUCGAGUGUAAAAUGGAAUGUUUAAGCGAGUUGAAUCUAAGUGGCACCGCAAUAGAAGAACUGCCUUUAUCCAUCGGGAACCUUGUUGGACUUGAGGUAUUAGAACUACACUGCUGCAAAAACCUUAAGCGUCUCCCAAAUAAUGCUUGCAUUCAGUUGCAACAUUUAGAUUAUAUCGACAUUUCUGAUUGUCCAAAUUGUGAAUUGGCGCCUCCAACGAAUUCAAGCAAUGGGAGCACUGGAUUACAAGUAUCGAAUCUUCAAAUUAGUUGUUCCCAUUCAGAAUCAAAUUUAUUUACCAGUUUGCAAUGGUUAGAUCUAUCGAAGACUAAAAUUGUUAGCCUUCCCACAAGCAUCAAAGAAUUCGUUGCACUAACAAAUCUUGACUUGCGCCAUUGUGAGAAACUUGAAGAAAUAAUAGAGCUUCCACCAAAUAUAAGACACGUAGAUGUUGUGGGAUGCAAGUCAUUAGAGAGAUUUUCGGAAGUAUCAAAAAUAUUGGAAUUCAAUGGAAGCCACAUCAGAUCUUUAGAAGAAAUUGAGUUGUCCGGUUGCGACAAAAUGCAUGAGAAUAUAUGGAAUGAAAAAGUGCAAAAUCCAUUAUUGUGGAAGGGAGACUAUGAAUAUGAUACUACUUUGUUUCCAGAAAAUCAGAUUUCAGAGUGGUUGAGUUAUGUUCAUGAGUUUUUAAAAGAUGAUGAUGAUGGCAGACGGAGGGGACAUAAAGAGUGGGUAAUAGAUAUUGAGGGGCCACACUAUUUGGAGGAGAUAAGCGGAAUUGUAUUAUAUCACGUAGUGUUUGUUAAAGAUGUUGAAAGAUGGACGACAGAUAUUGGUUGUAAUACUAAGAUAACUAGUAACAGCUCAAAUCAUGUAUGCUGUAUUAAAGAAGGAGUACAAUUGGUUAAUUUGGAUUGUUCGUACACAAAAGAGGGAAAUACUCCUGGAUAUGUUGUAUGGGUGGGGUACUCCAAUUUACAAUCUUUUGAACUAAAGGUUUUGGACAAUUUGCGAGUUCAAUUUGAUUUCCAAUAUUCUUAUGAAAAGGUGGUGCGGUUUUAUAAAAGUUGCAGAGCCAAAGUGGUAUACAAGAAUGAAAGGAGAGCAAAUAAAAAAAGAAAAAUGGAUGAAGAAAUUUGCAGUGUAUGAUGUAAUUCAUGUUGAUAGACAAGGAAAUGAAGCGGUUCAUUUACUUGCAAGGCACGCUUGCUUUGUGGAUGAUACUAUUCAAUGGUGGCAUCAAUGUCCAAAUUUUAUUCAUUCUAGGAUCUUACUUGAUUCUAAUUUGUAAUGGGGCAUCCUAAGCACCAUCGAUUUGGCAUAAUCUUUGUGGGAAACAGGAUUCCAGAUUCAAUUCCGUCAGUUCAGAUCAUGAAAUGUGUUCAGAACAUGUCUUGCUUGGCUACUUUGUUGGAGAAUCUUUGAAGAUAGAGGUAGACAACCUACGUGUUGAACUCUUUUGCACUUCAAAAUCGGUGUUCUUCAAAACUUUCAGAAUCCAUAUGAUACAAAAGCAUGAAGAUCAGAGAGUGAAAAAUCAUCCAGGGCCAUGAUGAUAGCAUGCGGCCGGAUGCAUUGAGGCUUUGAGAGAGGGUGGGGGAAUACUGCAGAAAGUGUUCAGAAUCGAGAAUGUUAGGAUGCUUUCUGAGGUACCCCAAGCACCAGAACCCACAAAGUUGGAGGAUGCUUUGGUGAGACUUAAUGAUGUCAUUAUACAAGAGAAAUCAGAUGGGAAAUCCAAAAUAAUAUAUCUCAGUUAUUAAAGAUUUUAAUGAUGUCAUUAAAGAAGUGCCAAGAUGGGAAAAGAUAUUGAAGUUUCAUGUAGCAGUGAGAGAACAUACAAGCACUUGUGCAGCAGUGGGAGGAAACAACUCUGGGGGGCCAUCAUAUUUGCCAAAACCUGUCAACUCCAUUCAAUGCAUCCAAAUCAGAGUGAAGAAACUCUUCCAGUAAUCACUGAAACAGUCAACAGAAAACUGGAUAAGAUGAUCAUAGAAGGAGAUUUUCUAGUGCUAACCACAGCAUUUCAAAAACGCCCACAUAAACUUCGUUUCUCAUAGACCAUAUAUGUUGAUACCAAUCACUGUCAUUUGCUAAUUGCUGGAAUUUCCAUCGACAAAAACUCAUGAUAUCUCAGUUGGAGUUGUUUUAGCUAUAAAUUAUUCUGAGGGGUUCUAGCUGAUUAUUCAUAUCAAGAGCAUUUGCAUAAUUUCAAGAUGAUCCCAGGCAUGUGGAGAACGUACGUAAGACCAGAUUUAGAACAAGUUAGUGUAGGGUAACCUAACUAUUUCAGGCAGUUUCAGUAGCUUUAGUACUUGUGCAAAGUUUGAAUGUGACCCAUGCAGUGCUAGUAUAUGUAUGGUUUUGGUCCGAGUUUUGCAGCAUUUGUGUAAUCUGGCAAAGGCAUUUAAAUGUUAGAUAUCAAGCUUGUUGCUUUACUCUGCAAGAUCUCUUUUACAUUAUUUUUGCUAAUGAUACUGUCAAUUUGUAUAUGCAAUUCUGGCUAUUGAGUCUAUGUGGUAAAUUCCUUCCAUAAUAAUUUUUUUUUUGUUGUCUUUUUUAACCGAAUGUGACAACUAUAACUUCCAAUGAUUGUCAUUCCUUAACAAAUUUGAAGGAAUUGAUUGUCGAAUGGUGUACAAGUUUUGUUGUAUUAUAUCUCGUAAUAUUUUUUAAAGAUGCUUCAAGCUGGAGGAGAGAUAUUGGUUGUGAUGCUAAGAUAACCAUAACCAGUAACAGCUCAAAUCAUGUAUGCUGUAUUAAAGAAGGAGUACAAUUGGUUAAUAUGGAUUUGGACAGAGCAACGGAAAAUACGCCUGGAUAUAUUGUAUGGGUGGGGUACUCCAAUUUACAAUCAUUUGAACUAAAGGUUUUGGACAAUUUGCGAGUUCAAUUUGAUCGUUUCUAUGGGGGGAAGGUGCCAUUUUAUAAAAGUUGCAGAGCCAAAGUGAGAGCAAACAAAAAAAGAAAAGUUGGAGGUACUCCAAGCACUGCAGAAAGUGUUCAAGAUCGAGAAUGUUAGGAUGCUUUCUGAGGUACUCCAAGCACCAGAACCCGCAAAGUUGGAGAAUAUGUCUGGCUGGACUACUUUGUUGGAGAGUCUUUGAAGAUAGAGGGAGACAACCUCCAAGUUAAACUUUUUUGCACUUCAAAAUCGGUGUUCUUCAAAUCUUUCAGAAUCCAUAUGAUACAAAAGCAUGAAGAGAGAGUGAAAAAUCAUCCAGGUGUGCUGCGUGAAGAUGAAUGUUUAGGUGGAAUCUUCAAUUUUUGUUUUCUAUUCCCCUGUUUUAUCAGCAACCAAACUGUGGAUGGGGAGACAGAUGAGCAUGAGGAGAUUGAAUUAGAGCAAUGAAUGUAUUGGAUGGUACUUUUGCCUUUUGUUCCAUAGGUUGAACUGUACUAGUUUUUAGGUAAAUAUUGCUCUGCUAUCACUAUCAGGGUCUUGUUCCAUUUUAUAGUUUUUCUGCGUUUUAGCAUUCUAGGCACAAAUUCAUCACCAAUGAUAAAUGAUGUUGAUGUUGGAAGUUCCAUAUGCCAAGGUUUUAUUUUGUCUUUGGACUCUGUAUUUUGUAGAAUUUGUGUGAUUUGGAAAUUCAAAAGGCUGUAAACUUCCACUUUGAACACCAUUGAAUUUCAAGGUUUAUAGGGCAUUUUCUUGUGGUGAUUUUGACUUGUCUAAUUGCAACAAAAUGCAUGCUUGUAGGGAAUCAUGUAAAAAAUCCUUAAUUGGAUGAUCAGGUAUGUCUCUGUCCA